rnacentral:rRNA from 1 species
UACGUAGGGGGCAAGCGUUGUCCGGAUUUAUUGGGCGUAAAGAGCGUGUAGGCGGUUUGGUAGGUCCGCUGUGAAAACUCGAGGCUCAACCUCGAGACGCCGGUGGAAACCAUCAGACUAGAGUCCGGAAGAGGAGAGUGGAAUUCCUGGUGUAGCGGUGAAAUGACGCAGAUAUCAGGAGGAACACCGGUGGCGAAGGCGGGUCUCUGGGCCGUAACUGACGCUGGAGGAGCGAAAGCGUGGGGAGCGAACAGG